rnacentral:piRNA from 1 species
UGUACUAAGGAGCCUAAUGCAGGAA